CUGGUCACGCAGUGGCAGUAUCAUAGCCAAUGAGGUUAAUCUGAGGUGUGAUUAUUGCUAGUUGAAAACUUCUUUGCUCUUUUUGGAUGAAAAGUGAUAUAUGUAUAUAUGCAAUGAAUUAUUUUGGAUAAUAUUUCAUAU